rnacentral:lncRNA from 1 species
CCAUAGCCCAUGUAGGGUAAUUGUGGCCAUUGAGAGCAAGCUCCUCAAAUUCUUUGGCAGUCAUCUUGGCCUACAUGGGGAACCAGAGAUAAUUAAUUUACGGGCGGUAAAUUAAAAACCAUCAAGGUUCUGUAAUAAGAAUGCAAAAAUUUGAUAGUCAAGUGUAAAACUUGAAAAAUUCUCAACCUCAAUUGUGUGAACAUAACACAUUGAAGAUCACUUAGAUCUCACAGUAAUAGGC